rnacentral:tRNA from 1 species
GGGCGAUUAGCUCAGAUGGUAGAGCGCUGGUUUCACGAACCAGAGGUCAGAGGUUCGAGUCCUCUAUCGCCCACCA